rnacentral:rRNA from 1 species
UACGGAGGGUGCAAGCGUUAAUCGGAAUUACUGGGCGUAAAGGGUGCGUAGGUGGUUCGCUAAGUCCGUUGUGAAAGCCCUGGGCUCAACCCAGGAACUGCUUCGGAUACUGGCGCGCUUGAGGCUAGUAGGGGUCACUGGAACUGACGGUGGAGCGGUGAAAUGCGUAGAUAUCGUCAGGAACGCCAAUGGUGAAGACAGGUGACUGGGCUAGUUCUGACACUGAGGCACGAAAGCGUGGGGAGCGAACGGG